rnacentral:lncRNA from 1 species
GAAGUUGUGCGUCGAACCCGUGUCCACGAGCGCGGUGAGACGCUCCCCGUUGAUCGUCACCGGAAGCAGCAUCGUCUUUGCCGUCUUGAUGCCAGCCAUGGCAUGAAGGGAGACGACGAAGGCGGUCGCGUCGACCGGCCCGUAGGUCGUGACGCCGGCCUCGGAGAGUGUGGUGGCGUCGAGCUCCGCGGUGAGGGCCUCCACCUCCGCGUCGUCGACGGUCUCCAAGUAGAACAGGCGGGCGCACGUAUGACCCGGCGCAUACGGCUCGUCGCAGUUGAAGCA